rnacentral:rRNA from 1 species
UGGGGAAUUUUGGACAAUGGGCGAAAGCCUGAUCCAGCAAUGCCGCGUGUGUGAAGAAGGCCUUCGGGUUGUAAAGCACCUUUGUCCGGAAAGAAAUCCUUGGCUCUAAUACAGUCGGGGGAUGACGGUACCGGAAGAAUAAGCACCGGCUAACUACGUGCCAGCAGCCGCGGUAAUACGUAGGGUGCAAGCGUUAAUCGGAAUUACUGGGCGUAAAGCGUGCGCAGGCGGUUUGCUAAGACCGAUGUGAAAUCCCCGGGCUCAACCUGGGAACUGCAUUGGUGACUGGCAGGCUAGAGUAUGGCAGAGGGGGGUAGAAUUCCACGUGUAGCAGUGAAAUGCGUAGAGAUGUGGAGGAAUACCGAUGGCGAAGGCAGCCCCCUGGGCCAAAUACUGACGCUCAUGCACGAAAGCGUGGGGAGCAAACAGGAUUAGAUACCCUGGUAGUCCACGCCCUAAACGAUGUCAACUAGUUGUUGGGGAUUCAUUUCCUUAGUAACGUAGCUAACGCGUGAAGUUGACCGCCUGGGGAGUACGGUCGCAAGAUUAAAACUCAAAUUGAAUUGACGGGGUCAUAGCUGUUUCCU